CCAAGUUUAAAACCAUCCUCUACACAAGUGAAAGCACUCAUGAUAAAAUACCAUUUAAAUUUGGUACAAACACCAAAUAAUUGCAUGUUCCUGUUAAAGUUAUUCUUUUUCCAACUCCAAAAAUCCCCUAUAAAACCGUUCCUUCCGUCAUAUUGUUUAAUCAAACUCAAAACUAUCACUUGAAUAACAAUCCUCUAGCAUUUUCUUAAGCAGUUAAGAAACUUACAGAGGAAUGGAGGGCAUUAAGCUAGCAACUGCUCUCAACAUCUCAAUCAUGGCUCUUAUUGUCAUUGCCAGUUUUGGAAUGACCGCAGCACAAGAUGUUGGAGCACCUGCACCUGCACCAGCACUGCAGAGCGGCACAUCAACACUUUAUGGUCCAGCCAUACUUGCAGCCAUGGCCUCUAUCUUUGCUUGCCUCUUCUAAAUUUGAUUACCUAUCAUUCUUCAAUCUCCGUUCUUCUCCAUUUUCAGUGCUAUUGAUAAUAAGGAUGCAUUAAUAAUUAUAAAAACUAUUACAGUCAUCCAAUCUAGCUAGAAAUGCCCUGCUAUAUGUUCUCAGUUUAAGCUUUCAAUAUAAUAACUUUGUAUCAUAUUAAGAACUUAAAUGCAUUAUUUAAACUGUGCACACUAUAUAAAGGUUAUCAGGGUAAAAAAGGCACUCAAAACAAAAUAACUAGAGCAGAAUAUCUCAAACUCAAAUAUCAGCAAGUCCUAGAAAUGAAGAAACAAGUCCUAGAUGCAUAUAGUUUAGCAAUACUGUGACACGAAAUGCAUUGUUCAUACAAUCAUAGUGUGAUAUCCACAUAUACAUUAUUGUUAAUACUUAAAGUCUUAAACCAUCAAUAAGUAGUAUGAGGAAUCGACAAUCAAUUAAUUGUUUCAAUAUCAUAUUUGCAUAAAUAAUGUUAUAUAACCUAUACUCAGUUCUAGUAAUAAUCGGCAUUUACACGGAACGUUAUCAAUGAAAUUAUAGUAACACAUCAGUUAAUUGGUGAUUAUCCUUAAUAUGCUUAACAACCUAAAAGAAAGAUUAACAAGUGAAAUUGGGACAUGAAAUUUGAAUAAUUUUAACAUUCCAACCAAAGAUCUUAAAAUGCAUGAAAUUUAUCGGGGCAUUCAAUGGGAUGCAAGAACUAUAAAAUACAGUUGUUUCACUAUGCAGUUUGAUUCUCAUUACAACCUUUCCCAUUGUUCAUAUUAUAGUAACUGCCCACAAGUUCAAAGCACCACAAACUCAAUCUUGUCAUCACAAACUUUUCCUGUUAUAAUUUGCGACAUUACUUAGUUUGGCUUGAAGUGGAUCAAAUCCCAGAAAUGUCAAAGUAACCCUUCUCAUCAGAUCAUUCCCAUAUAUUACAAUGUGCAAAAUACAUAACAUUCUCUUAACAUCAUGAUGCAACAAAUUUCAGGCUCAAUGCUAAUUUUCCAUCAGCCACACAGUUAAUAACCGCUUCAUAUUUUCAACUACCAUUAGUAAACACAUUGAAAUUUGAUCAAAGUACACAUUUUGAAAAAUAGAUUUUUCAAGUUCACAUUUCGAAGAUCAGUAUGCAUAAUCCAUUUUUAUAAACAUUCUAAAUCUAAUGAUGUAGAAAACUAAACUGCCUGACAAGUUCUCCUAUUAACAUUGACCAAGCAUUUAAAUGUUUGGCUAAAUAGCAAAUAUUCAUUCUACUUGGUUCAUUUUAUUGGUCCAACAAAACCAGUUUCAAUUUACUGCUAGAUUUGCUCAUUACAGACAUGUACUCGGGCGGAUCCAUUCUGGAUUUUUUUUGUAGGUAUACGGGUAGGGGCAAAUAUAUAAGUGAAUAAAUUUAAGGGCAUAGAUUAAUGGAAGAGUUAAAUUUGGAGGGGGUAAAAAAUAUUCAUUUAUAUUCUAAAUACAAGUACAUACAUACGUAUAUUCAUUCUACUUCUAUCUUCUAAAUUGUAUCUAAAUAUUUUUUUAUUUAAAAUUUCUUUUUUAGUUUAGAUUAUGAAUAUUUAUUGUAAUUUGUAAACAUUAUUAUGAUUAGUUCAAGUUUUCUUUAUUUAACUUCAAUAAAAAAUUAGUUAAAAUCGGUUCAUGCAAAAAUUUCUGAAUCCACUCCUGUAUGUAUUAGAUGCAUGAGCAUAGUAAAUAAAAGCUUUUAUGCGCAAAUUUCAAGCUGCUUCAGUGCUUCUACAGAAUUACCUAAAAUUCUAAGCUUUUCUAUCACUUCACUAGAAUGAAAGAAUGCAAUUUAUAAGCACCAAGUAACUGUACAGAUCUUAAACAAGCGAACAAUGAAACUGCAAGGUAACAACAUUCAUAUGAUUUUGUUAAAGGUUUAAAAACAACAAAUAUGUGAAAUGAUAAAUUGGAUGUAUUCAAUUGGAUUUUGAAAUAAACCUAGAAAUUCAGUCUAAAUUAAGAAAUUGAAAUAGUACAUCGGCUAGUAGACUAAGAAGUUGAAAGACCAAUCAGUACAAAUGAAAUACAUAUACAUAUGUGUGUGUGUGUGUGUAUAUAUAUAUAUAUAUAUAUAUAUAUAUAUAUAUAUAUAUAUAUAUAUAUAUAUAAAGUGAGGCGUAGCUAACCUGCAGGACAAGUGGUCGCCGCGGACUCCGUUCUCUUUGCGGCGGUGGAAGAUGUGAUCAAGUUGAUGAUCAAACGAUGGCGUUUGUGAUUAAUUAAGUUUUGAUAUCUUCCAUUAGAUUUUCCAAAUGAAUCAAAAUUGAUGAUCGGUUUUUUGGACCCCAGAACUCAAUAUUCGGG
rnacentral:lncRNA from 1 species